UACACAUUCUCUAUAUACCAUCACGUGAUAAUACAGCUCCUUCUGCACACAUUCUCUAUAUACCAUCACGUGAUAAUACAGCUCCUUCUGCACACAUUCUCUAUAUACCAUCAUGUGAUAAUACAGCUCCUUCUGCACACAUCCUCUAUAUACCAUUACGUGAUAAUACAGCUCCUUCUGCACACAUUCUCUAUAUACCAUAACAUGAUAAUACAGCUCCUUCUGCUCCCAUUCUCUGUAAUGGAUCACCUGGCACCCCGACUGGGUACCUCCG